CAAGGUUAGCAGAUCCUCUCACGUAAGUAGAUGUGAUCAUUUUCUGUAUUCUUUUAAAUUAUGUGGGAAGUUAAAAGAAUUGAAAUGGCAAAACAUGCUUGUCAUGAUGAAUCUAAGAUUUAAUUUAUAAAAUCUUAAUAAUUUAUCCAAAAUGCCUACAACUCUUAACAGUGCAAUAGCUGCUGCUUGUACUUUAUCCUCAAAACUACAAGAUCAGUAUAUUUAUUCAUUAAUAUUUUAAAGAUUUUUUUUUUUGAAACACAAGUAUAAAAGAUCUUAUCACUUCUUCGGGGUUCAUUGAUUUACAUUUUCACUUCAUAGAUUUCCAAGAGCUUUUUACCUGCUUUCAUUUCCUUCUAUGUCCUUGAAUAUUUCCAUUAGCAGAUCUGAGAACAUUAGUCUGGUAGGUUUUAUUUUUCUUUAUCCAGUCUGGUAGGUUUUAUUUUUCUUUAUCCAAUUUUUUAAUGUUAUUUUUUGUUUGGGUUUUUGUCCCAUGUCCCAGCUCAGACUGCCCAACUUUGACUAUAUGUUUAGCUUUUUUUUCCCUAGUUUAUGAAUCAUUCCUACUCUUAACAUUUUAUACAUACACACAAAAAUUUACAGACAACCAUAAACAUGGAAAUAAAUUUAAAAUAAUUUCUAUAGAUUUGAAUUAGAUUCUAUCUCUCAUAUAUAUGAGAUGGCAGACUCACUCUGACUAUCUUUAUUUCUGUUAUACAUCUAAGUUAAAACUUUAAAUUCCAUCUGUAAUAAUGGAGAAAGGUAAACACUUCCACAAAAUUACUGUUUAAUUUAAGUUGUCAAGGAAUAACACUCAAUACAAGCAAAAAUCAGUUUUUUAAAGUACUGUUAAUUUCCCUUUCUUGCAAUAUUAGUCUUGUGAUUAAUUUUCCCAAUUUACAAGGCAUGUAUUUAUAUUUGAAAAGAAUUUUUCCUUCUGAACUGGAAUACAUGCACUUGUUUCCUUGAUAGAACAGCUCAUAUAAGCUCCUUGCUCUCAGCUGACAGUCUGGAAAUUUCUUGUAAGUAAAGGAAUAUUUUAUUGCUUUGAAGUGUUAUUUGCAAUUGGUGACUGAUGCUUCUUUUUUUGAGUUUUUGGUUGUUUUGUUUGUUUUUUUUUUUCACAGAUGUUAAACUGGGUUUUGAUUCAGCUCUCACUGGCCUAUACUUUGAAUGAAAGUUCUAAUUACUGUGAAUUUUAAAAACCCUUCUGGUGUGUCAGUUUCGAAGCUAUGCAGCACAGAUAAAGUGUUAUCAUCUUCCUUGUUUCUUGUUCUUGUUCUUUUCUUUUUCAAAAGGGAGAUUGUUUAGAAGAGGGGAAACUAGAGUAUUCAAAGUAGCUUCAGAUGGUGGCAUAGUCAAUAUCAACAACCAAGUGCAUGGAAGAGAUGUGCUGCCAAAUCAGAUGUUUUGUUCUUAGAAUACUGAUAAAAUCUGAUGAAAAUGUUGCAGUAGUAUUGAUAAUACUUUGGGGAACUGGAAAGUUCCACUAACUGUGUAAACUUGUACAGACAUUGUGCUACUGGAUCAAACUAUUGAAUCAAUAGCCCAACAGUAACAGGUUAUAGCAAAUAUGAAGUGGACUAAAAUCAAGUGACCAUACAUGUCAAUUUCAAAAAAUAAAUUUAUUUGUUAAUACAGGAUAGUUUAUAGCUGCAACUUGUCCACAUUAGCACAACCAGGCUUGCUAUUUCAUUUGCUAAACAAGAGAUAAAGGUUGUGUGUUUGACACAGAGAUGCCCAGCCUCAGAGCAGCAAGGGGCUCUGGGCUCAGCCUAUUGUUUUCCUCUUGAAAGACUGUGAAUAGAUAAUUUUUAAGAAUUGGAGCACGAAAUGGAGAAGAGGAAAACAAUUUUCCUUGUGUAUUAAAUAAUUAUAUAUGUACUCCUCUGGGAUAAAUAAUGGUAUAUAUUUUCCUAUGAAAAUAUGUAGUGUUGAAAUAUACUGGAUAAACUAAUAUUCUCAAAAACAAAAUCUAUUUGUCUAUUUUACUUUUACUGUUUAGAAAUUUGGAACAAGCUUGGAACUGCAGUGGUAUGGCUUUUCACUGUACUGUGGCUGCAUUUUUCUGUAUCUUGUCAGUAUCAUGUGCUUCAUUAAGUUACAUUAAUCCCUGUUUCUGAGCCUUUAUGUUGGGUUCUACCAAAUAAUUUCUCCAUUUUUUCCUGAAACUGAACCAAAAGUACACAUUUUCAUUACCUUGGAAAGAAAUUUGAUUUUGAAUCAGAAAUAACUGAUUUUGAAUUUGGUAAGUCUCCUUGAUUGUAGAAAGAACAAACUCCUCCUUAUGUCCAAAUGUAAACUGUUCUCUACCUGACAGUGAUCAAGACAGGGCCUUUCCCUUUUUACACUUUCACAGUAGUGAUAUACUAUUAUUAACUAUUAGUUGAAAGUGGUUUUACUCUGAAACAGAUGAAACUCAGAGGUCUCUUCUGCUUUUGGUAAUGUUGUUUCAUAAUUAUUCAAUUAAGGUUUUUGCAACUAUUGAGGAAUACAUUCAGUGCCGGUAGGUCGGGGUGCAGCUGCAGUUCAAGGUGCAGGUUGAGCUCUGGGUGUUGGAGCCCCAGCCAAGAGGCUGUGAACUGCUGACCCUGUGCAGAACAGAGGGCACAGGGGCCUGUGGCCCAGCCAGGUGACCGGGAACUCAGGGACACUCAGCUGGAAACCCCAGACUUUACCAUGCACCGACUGUGAGGGUAUGAAAACCCAGGAGUCCUUUGUUCAGGGUCUGUCCUCAGAGGCACCAGCUUGGCCUGCUAUUCUGUGAUUGCACCAUGAUUAAAUUAUUUUAGGGAUCCAGAUGUCUGAGAUUCUGCUGUGGAAAUCCGUGCGUUGAGCCAGUACGGAAACCUGGUCUGACUGUGUGAGAAUGGGGUGUGUAGGACAUCAUGAUGGACGCUUGUCAUCUCUCUGAAUCUGCCAUGGUCACAGUUCCAGCACUGAAAGUCUCAGGUGGUGUGAGUGUGACAGCCAGAGUGGCUUCUGGAUGGUCAGGCAGAGAAAUUUCCUUAACACUGUAUCAUCUAAAAUUACAGUGAGCUUUUAGGACCCACAUCAUUUACAAUCUACAUGCUUUCUUUGUUGGGAAUCUUGACAGACAGAAAUAGGAUCUCCAACCCAACACAGUGAAUCUGCUGGUAGAGUUGCUUUGUUCCCAUUCUAUAUAGGUGGUCUCAGACUGUACUGUUUAUUACUAAAUAUGUGAGCUGGUCUAGGAUCCUUCUUAUUUUCACUUCAUUUAUAAACCUUAAGCCAAUCUGCAGAUCCCCUGCUCUUUGAGGUAAAAUGCUUCCUGCCAGUUCUUUUGGUGGUCUUCUUUCACAUUGUAGUGGAUUUGUUUUGAUACUUUCCAAGGAACUUUUAUAGAACGACAGGCACCAUCUCAACAAUCACAAUGAUUUUUAGGGAAAUGAAACUUUGAGUUGAUCUUAACUUUACUAACAUUUAACAUUUUAUAUUAGCAUUUAAUUAAGCUUUCUUUUUUUAAGCUGUUUUGAAAGAAAGGAGGGAAUGAAGUCAGGCCACUGUUUUUAACUUGCAAAUAGCAAUUAGAUACCUCCUGUAGUUUAAGAAAAAAUAGCUGGCAUUUUGAAGACAGUGUGCCUUUGACUCAUGGAGCAAUUGAAAUUUUGCUGAUAGUACCUCACAGGUAAGUUUAGCACUUGGAAGCCAGAGCUGUCUUGCAAAUGUGAAACUAGGUAACAUUUGUCAUGGUAUGUCUCAUUCUAUUUCAAUUUGUUGUAUUUAGUGUUAUACAUCACCAUAGAUGAUUUUAAGCUAAAAAUUAAUGCAUAAUAAUUUGAAAUUAUUUGGGAAAGGAUUUUACAGUAAAAGCAUAUUUUCUUUUGUCAUACAAUGUUAGACAAUAUGAAAAUUUGAAGUGCAUUAAUGAUGAAAAUCCAGUAUUGUAUUUCCUGCCUCUCAGGCAUUCACUGGUUUUCCAGGUAGAGCAGAGCCUUAGGCUGCCUUAAAGGAAUAUUUGCUUCAGGCAUUUCUCACGUUAUUGUCUUCUUUUUGACAGUGAACCAUACAAAGCCUGAAUGUCGUGAAAAUAAUAAAUAUUGUAACAAUUUUCCAUUUUUAUAUCCUUUCUUUUGCAUUUGAAAGGCAUCACUGAGUAUAUUAUAGGUUCUGAACUGAAAAGCAAUGACUAAAGCAGAUAGAAGCAAAACCAAAAUAUAAAGUCCAGUUUUUCACCUAAACUUUUCUGGAACUAAACACUCAAUCAAUCUUGAAUGAAAGCAUUAACAGAUUUUCUGCUUUAAAAACCAUACGAAGAUAAAAUUAAUAGCAAAACUGUUCCUUAAGAAUGCUCAGACAGGCAGGAAAAUUUACUGAGAUAUUUUCAUCCUAAAAAUAUUUACUGGAAGACAUAUAUUUAUAUAUCCAAAGCAAUGACAAAACAAAUUAGGAAAAAAUUAUAUAACCUGGACAUUUUGAGUUAGAAUUGAAAGUUGAUUGCUGAUUAUUUACCAGAGAGAAAAGCAAAAUCAGUAUUAUGUAUGAAUCAGAUAAUGUCUGCUGGAUUAUUUUGCUCUGUUAUUUUUAAAAGGGAAUGAAAAAGACUUCAAAUUUGAGAAAGGAGGAAUAUCCUUUACAUUUUCAGUCAACCUGAGUAUAAAUAACCUGCUUUGCUGGAUGCUAUGACAUGGUAAAUCUCUGUGAUUUUUUAAAUUAAGCAUAAUUUCAAAUACAAUGCACCAUUUUGAAUAUAAUUACAAAACUGGGGAAUUUAGGUUUGAAAAAAUAUAAUAAUCUUAACACACAAGAUUUGGUAUUGUGCUGUCAAGGGAAUUCAAAAAUACAUGACUGUAAAGAAAACAUAAAUAUAGAUGUAUCUAACUAAAAAAUUCAUCUGUUGGGUUAGUAAGGGAAUAUCUGCUUUUUUAGGAUUAUUUAGCAUACUGGAUUUUAGGAAAAUAAAUUAGGAAAACAAAGAGGGAUUUUUUUUUGUUUAUUUGUUAUUUUCUAAAUUUAGAGAUAAGCUAAGACAGAAAAAUAAUGCAAACCCACAAAUUCAAAAGAAUUACUUAUUACAAUAGGGAGAAAAAUUCCUGAAUGAUAUUGUAUCUUUAUUUGAAGCAUUGGUAUUCAAUCUAAAGAUAAAACGUGAAGAACAUAAAAACUAAAAGAGAAUAAGAGAGGACAGUUUGCUGGACAUUUGUCUAUGAAUCUGCAGUCAGGCCUACACUACACAAACAGUAAUGUUCCUCAUAAAACUAGUAAUGAUAAAUUGUUUUGCAUACAGCAUUUUGUUACCAUACAGUGAAAAUCCACAGCUAAAAAUACUACUGAGGAUCCUAUGACUGUUGCAAACAGAAUAAUAGUGAUAAAUCAAAAGGAACCAAGAAAUAAAUUGAAAAAUGGUCAUGAAUUUGUGCAGAGAUAUAAUUGAGUGUAAGCAGGAAGAAGACAUGAAUAGCCCAAUAUUUAUAAUUAAUUAAGGUUACUGAUUAAUACUCCUUCCGUGAUUUCAUGAAAGUCUAAAACCAACUUUUGCUCUACGAAGACAUGAUUAUCAUAUCAAACAGCUUAAUGGAGAAGAGGCUAGUCAUUGUAUAGACACUGGAUAGAUGGUGGAAGGAGAGAAACUUCCAGAAAUGAAAGACACUUAAUUAGUGUCUUAAUUAUAAGACAUAUUUCUGAAAAUAAUGAUAUUGAAAAAAAAAGAAAAGAUGGUGGUGAAAUCUUUUAUGACUGGUGGUGUCUUUGAAGUGGUAAAGACUCCAAAAGAAAACUGCAGGAUAUAGUUGGAAAUUCUCUAUGCAGACUGCUCAAAAUUCCAAUAACAGGAGGUAAGAAAGAGAAAUGGAAUAUUAUUAGGAAGAUGAAAUGAAUGAAUGAUUAGAUUAUUAUCAUACAAAUGGUUAGGUAUCUCUAUAGUACUUGUAGGUACUUUUAAAAACUCAAUACCUCAUACCCAAUCAGUAUUUCAAAUAUUAAUCAGAGAAAGGACCUGUAACUGAUUCUCUUUCACUCAAGAAGGCUCAUUACAGAGCUUGAUUGUAAUAUUAGAACUGCCACUGAGAUGUACCAGACUAAAAUCUGAAGUGCCUUGUCUGCUAGAACAAGAAAUCAAAGCUUGUGAUUUCAUUAAUACAUGUUAUUAAUUUUUUGUUCUAAUUGCAAGUGGUUUUGCACUAGAAAUAUAAACAUAGGGGGGAAUAUUUUAAUGUUAGAAGUAGAUUUUGUAAAAAUAUGCUCCCUCUCAAAUGAUUUAAACAUUUUAAAGAUUUUAACAAAUAUUUAAAGUAAUUAACUCUUUGCUAUGAGGUCAACUUAUUAUUUUGGAAACUUUAGUAAAAGGAGUAAGGAUUGCUGGCUCAAAAUAUUUUGGGUACAUUUGUGGGAGAAAGGGCAGGUCGGGCCAUGCCCUGGCGAGGCGAUGCUCUGUUCUGCACACCCCACCUCUCCAGACCUGUACCCCAUCACUGCAGUGGCCACCAAUCCCUGGCACAGCAGAGGCAAUGCUCCACACCUGUCCCUGGAGCUCCUAUCCCAGCUCCUGAGUGGCCAAAUGACCAAAGUCCCCCCUGGGGGCAGGGCCCAGGAAAGCCAGAGGGUACUUAAGCCAAAGCAUGAAGUAAGCACGUCUUUAUCCCACCUCCUCAUAGAAUUUCUGUCAGUAAAACACCGCUAGAACCAGGAGUUGUAACUAUACUUGUUCUUUGCCAUUUCUUUUCUCUCUUUCUUCUUCUAAUUCCCUCUUCUGAGAGUUUUGAGUAAUGUAAAAUCGGACAGGCUUGAAGUUUGCUAAGUCAAAUGUGCCAAAUUAAUGCUUUGUGAAAUUCUUUACGUUCACUGAAUGCUGCUCUAAACUUUUGCCAAGGUUCUCUGAUGUUCUGAAGUUGCCAAUAAAGUUUUUUGUUGUUUUGACCUUUUGAGAAUAUCUUGUCUGUAUUUCUCCUGUGCAUCUAACUCAGAGUACAUAAAAAACCAUAAGCCUUUUUAAGAGCCUUGUCAAGGGAGGUUUUGGGGCCUUACAGCCAUUCUUGGCACCAGAAAACUGGUAGGUUUAUGUUAUAUUUUAUGUGUAUUUUGUUCAAUAUUUUAUACAAUAUAAGGAUUAUAUAAGGAUUCCUAGAAAUACAGAGGAUUUCAUUCUCCUUGUCAAAUGCCAUAAUAGCAAGGGCACAGAUAAUUUUCUUUUUAGCUUCUUUCAUCCCAGAUUCAACUCCUUUUCAGAAUAAUGUCUCUUCUGAAUAGGAAGACUAGACAAGUGCUUACAUAAAAAUUUCUCUUUGAUGUAACCUGACUGCUGGCACACAGGUUAGGGCUGGGAUGGAAUUAGUUUCCCCCACAGCAAUGCUUAUAGUGCUGUGCAGUGUAGCCAGGAUGGUAGUGAUAUCACACCUCUGCUUCAGAGGAGUGAGAGCAGUGUACAAGUGAAUGUGAGUGUAUGAGCAGUGCUCAUACAGCAUCAAGGUUAUCUCUCCUGUCACUCCUCACCCCUGCUUCAAAAGCCAGGAGGCUGGGGGUGAGCAAGAGCUUGGGAGGAGACAUAGCCAGGAUUACUUACCCAAACAGACCAAAAGGUUAUUCCAUGUCAUGUGGUGUUGUUUUCUGAAACAAAUCUAAGCGAAAUGAAAAGAGGAAGAGGGAGGUAUUUGUAGUUAAGGUAUUCAUAUUCAAAAGCAACGGCUACACAUCCUGACGCCCUACUUCCCAAGAAGUGACUCGGCAUCAACUGCUGCUGGCAAGUAGAGAAUCCAUAUUUUUGUUUUCCUUUGCUUCCACAUGUGUCCUUUCUUCAUUAAACUGACUUUAUUUUGAUGCACAAAUGUUUCUUUUUGUUUUUCUUUGUUUUCCUCCUGUCCUGCAGAAGAGAGAAGUCACAAAGUGGAUUUAUGGACACCUGGUGGGUGGUAAUCCAAGAGGAGCCCACCACAGUCCUUUUUGGUGACUGAGCUCAUGGAGCAGCCCAUGAAGCAGGCUGUUCACCUGCCACCCAUGGAGGACCAUGGUGGAGCAGAAACCCAACUGCAGCCCAUGGACGAUCACCCACUGGAGCAGAUGUGUGUGCCCAAAGGACAUGGUGAUCCCAUGGAGAUCUCACACCAGAGAAGGUUUUCAUACAGGACCUGGGAGCCCAGGGAGGACUCACACUGGAACAGUCUAUUCCUGAAGGGCUCUACUCCAUGGAAAGAGCCCACAUUGGCAUGCUUCAUGAAGAAUGACAUCCUGUGGGAAGGAUUUAUGUUGGCAAAGUUUGUGGAGAACUGUCUCCCAUGGGUGGGAUGCCAUUCUGGAGCAGGGAAAGGAUGUGAAGAGGAAGAAGCAGCAAAAAAAAAAAGUGCGAUGUGAUCAUAACCUUUAUUCCCAGUCCUUGCCAAAGUGCUCAGAGAGGAGGUAGAUGAGUCAGGAGUGAAGAUGAUACUGGUAAGAUGGGGGUGGAGGGAAUUUGGGUUUUGUUUUUGUUUUUCACUGUCUAAAAUAAAAUCAUGCUGAUUCUAUCUUAGCUACUUUACCCCACAGGUUCAUGUAUAUAUAUAUAUAUGUGUGUGUGUGUAUAUAUAUACAUAUAUAUUUUUAUAUAUAUAUACACUCAGAUGAGUUGUCAUUAGACAAAGAAUGACUCUGCAUAUGCAAAUACUGACAGCACACUUUGCAAAGAAGAAUAAAGGUGUAAGAAUACAUGAGAAAUAUACCUCAUGGUUGGUGAUUUCAUGCGCUGAUCCAGAUCUUCACCUUCUUUAAAUCCGUUCAUAAAAGACUAUGUGGAAAUCUUUGGACUUCUCUGACUCACUGUUCAGAUACACCUGCCUGAAUCACACCAAUGGUUCAUGACCAACUGAAAGGCCAAACUGCAUGACAACUCAAUCUACUUUUCACAGUUAUUUUAACAUGUUAGCAAGUAUAUUAUUCUAACUUUAGUAGAUGGAUGAGGAAAAAAAAUAUCUUCAGCUUUCUACAGAAAAAGUAACAGGAAUACAUAUGUGCUGCAAUAAUGCAUUCAAGCUUUUUUUUUUUUUAUGGAGUAGACUGCUGUACUGUAAGAGUAAAAAUUGUGUGAAGGAAUUAGAAACAAAUAGUUGUUAAAAAUAGGUAUCACAGCUUAUAUGUCACUGAGAAACAGAAGAGAAUUUCAGGCUGCAACUGAGGAAACUAACUGUGGGAUACAGGAUGCAACUGAUGGAGUCCAUUGUGGGGAUUGAAUUGUGAGGUUUAAAUUCUAUGUCAUGGCAGAGGCUUACAGCAGGCCCAUAGUGUUCAGCUCAGGAAAGCCAUAGGGGCCACUAUUCCCAUAAAAAUAAUUUGAAGGUCAUAGCUAUUGUGCAGAAACAAUAUCUGAAUGUUCAGCUUAAAGUUCUAUUGUAGCAAUUCUGUUGCAAGACUAAGUAUAUUAGCCUGAUGGCAUACAUUUUGUGUAGCACCAUUUUGAAUGUUAGUUGAAUUUUGGGUUUGCAUGGCCAGGUUUUGGUAGUGAGAAGGCUACAGGGUGACUUCUGUGAGAAACUUGACAGAAGGAUCUGGAAUGGACAUACCACUGCCCAAGGCUGGGCCAACUAGAAAUGGUGGUAACAAUUCUGUAACAACAUAUUUAAG